CCACGUGGUGGACCGUGGAGGCGUGGCAGACUAUGCCUGCAGCUGUCCCCUGGGCUUCUCUGGGCCCCUCUGCCUGACACCCCUGGACAACGCCUGCCUCACCAACCCCUGCCGCAAUGGGGGCACCUGCGACCUGCUCACACUGAUGGAGUACAAGUGCCGCUGCCCGCCCGGCUGGUCAGGGAAAUCGUGCCAGCAGGCUGACCCGUGCGCCUCCAACCCCUGCACCAACGGUGGCCAGUGCCUGCCCUUCGAGGCCUCCUACAUCUGCCACUGCCCACCCAGCUUCCACGGCCCCACCUGCCGGCAGGAUGUCAACGAGUGCGGCCAGAACCCCGGGCUUUGCCGCCAUGGAGGCACCUGCCACAACGAGGUCGGCUCCUACCGCUGCGUCUGCCGCGCCACCCACACCGGCCCCAACUGCGAGCGGCCCUAUGUGCCCUGCAGCCCCUCGCCCUGCCAGAACGGGGGCACCUGCCGCCCCACGGGCGACGUCACCCACGAGUGUGCCUGCCUGCCAGGUAGUGCUGCCCGCUGGCCAGGGUGCACGAGCCCCUCCCCGGCUGCCAGGCCCAGGGGGUGGGAACGGGGCACCUGGUAUAGGGGCAGCCCUGGGAGGGCCCAUGGCGGGGAGUUGGGAAGGCGGGAUGGCGAGUUCCCCAGACUGCGUGUGGUGUUGGGGGGAUGCGUCUGGAGCGGGGUGUGCGCUGGGAGGAGGCCUGCACAGGGUCCAGGUGCCAGCC
rnacentral:sRNA from 1 species